UGGAAAGCAAGUAGAGUAUCGGUAAUAGCGUUUCGGGAAAGCAAGACGGAUUAGACCCUUCCCUUCGUGCCCCUCACCCGAGGUCACCAGUUGUCUAUGAAAGCCGAUCGGGGAAUAAGCCAAAGGACAGCCAAGACCAUCCUUCCUCUCCCUUUGAUUCGAUUGAUUUUCACUCUUUCGUCCAAAAACUCUAACUAGUCCAUCAGCCAAGCCCUUCUGACUCUCCUAUUCGUCCAGUUAAGAAAGGAAGCUUCGAG
rnacentral:misc_RNA from 1 species